AUCAGAGAUGCUGGUAGCCGCUGGCUCUUUCUGAUGUGUCAGCAGGGAAUGACUCCAGACUCCAGUGGCCCAGCAGGAACCGUCUCUUUUUCCAGUGGUUUCAGUGACAGAAAAGGCAGCCUCUGUUCAGUGGUUCCCAAAUCAACGUUAGCAGCACAGUGGCAGUUUUAGAAUUGUCCUGAAAAAGGCAAACAGAUCCAUGGGUGGAAGAACCACAAAAUACUUCAUUCUACCAAGUUUAAUACACUAAUGGGAAAAAAAAAAAAAAAACAAGCUGUGGCUGUCACUGGUUUUCUUUCAUUGAGAAAAAAGCUGGUACAUCAACACUAAAGCAUUUCAGAUAAUGCCAUAUAUUCAAUCACACUGGAUAAAU
rnacentral:lncRNA from 1 species